GACGAACGCUGGCGGCGUGCUUAACACAUGCAAGUCGAGCGGAGCGGCGAACGGGUGAGUAACGCGUGAGUAACUGCCCCCCUCUCUGGGAUAACAGUUGGAAACGGGUGCUAAUACCGGAUAGUGGGGGAUGACUCGCGUCCUAUCAGCUUGUUGGUGGGGUAGUGGCCUACCAAGGCGAAGACGGGUAGCCGGCCUGGGAGGGGGACCGGGCACAUUGGGCUGAGAUACGGCCCAAACUGCUACGGGGGGCAGCAGUGGGGAAUAUUACGCAAUGAGGGAAACGCUGAUACAGCAACGCCGCGGGCGGGAUGACGGCCUUCGGGUUGGAAAGCGCUUACAGCCAAGACGCGGUAGUGGCAGAAGAAGCACCGGCUAACUACGUGCCAGCAGCCGCGGUAAUAC
rnacentral:rRNA from 1 species